rnacentral:rRNA from 1 species
UACUAGAGUAGCACUCGCAUAUCAAUAAGCGGAGGAAAAGAAACUAACAAGGAUUCCCCUAGUAACGGCGAGUGAAGCGGGAAGAGCUCAAAUUUGAAAUCUUAAAGGGUUUCCCUUUACGAAUUGUAGUUUAAAGAAGUGUUUUCUGUUGAGGUUUUGGUAAAAGUUCUUUGGAAUAGGACAUCAUAGAGGGUGAGAAUCCCGUAUUUGACCUUUACUUUCAACUUUGUGAUACACUUUCAAGGAGUCGGAUUGUUUGGGAAUGCAGUCCAAAAUGGGUGGUAAAUUUCAUCUAAAGCUAAAUAUUGGCGAGAGACCGAUAGCGAACAAGUACCGUGAGGGAAAGAUGAAAAGAACUUUGAAAAGAGAGUUAAACAGUACGUGAAAUUGUCAAAAGGGAAGCGUUUGACACCAGUGUUGUUUUUCUGAAAAUCAAUUAAAGAACUGUUUAUGCUAAGUUGUUUAGACUUUAUCAGCUAACUGUUUAGUUUUGAGCUUUUCUUUAAUGCACCUUUUCAGUUAACAAGUCAACAUCAAUUUCUUUUGCUGUAAAAAAGCUUGAGGAAGGUGGCUUGAGAUUCGUCUUAAGUGUUUAUAGCCUCUUGCCUAUGCAGUCGGAGAGAUUGAGGUCUGCAGCGUAGAUCCUUCGGGGCUAAAUGCAUUUGUGCUAAGUUAUAGCAUUUUAUAGACAACUUGUUGACUAUGAUUUGUCUUGUAGCUUACUCGCUUAUGUUAUUUUACCUACGCUUAGGAUGUUGAUAUCGCGCUCUCACUG